CUUGCGCGGCCUUAACCCCUUGAGCCCCUGGGAGGUUAAGCGGGGAGGCUGAUUAAAAGGCGGGAAAGUUGUCGUUUGGAUGUCAGUUCAAUAUCAGUCCGAAAUUUUAGGCUGACAGUUGCGAAAGAUAGAGUCUUAAAACAAUCUGAGUAGCGAAACUCGUGGCUACGAUACGGAACGUAAUUAUUUUAGCUCUUUGGCUUUCUUUUCCAUUUCCCCCACCCUGCUGUUGAUGCCAUUGCUGGUGAACAGAUUAGGUUUAAGCUAGGUCCUUUGUGAUCAGGCAAGCAAACUUGAAAGCGUUUGUUUAUCAAAUUUAGACACCGGACUUUCACUAUACAAGUGACUCUGGGUGACUAUCAAUGAAUAGAUUAUGUCUGUUGGUCCAGAAAGUAUGGAUCUGACUGACAACUAACUGAUCAAACAUCCAAGAUGAGCGUCCACAAUCAGUUUGGCCAAAAGCAAUAAGGAUCCUGUAAUUUUAGUACCUUAAGUGCAAGGAGGCAGAGGAUAUAAUGUAAACCCAAAGGAAGCAUGGAGGGAAGUUGCAAAGAAGUGUCCACUGCCUACAGUGGACCAUAUGUGGCAGUCCCACUAGAAAUAUUUAAACCAGAUGGGCAAGUGUAUUUUUGGAAAUAUGAUGUCUGUGUAUCCCAGAACUUCAAUUUAUAGUGCUUUGUAAGUGAUAAUCAGCACUUUGAAUUAGGUCUGGAAUUCUAUUGUUAACCAAUGCAAUGAUGUAAAACAAAAUGCAUUUUUUUUUUUACAGUGGGGAGGUGGGGUUGCCUAGCCAUAGUUUAGCUCACUAUAUUUCAAACUUGGCAACUUUAAAACGAGUGGACUUCAACUCCUAAUGUGUUGCUGGGAAAUUCUAGGAAUUGAAGUCCACACAUCAUAAAGUGCUUCUGUGAGGCCACCAGAACCUCCAAAAAUUACACAAGAAUAGGGCAUGUUUCAUGUGGUUUGCAGAGGCUGUGGGAGACCAUUCUCUGAAGUUGCUUCAGAAACAAAGGCCUUUGUGUGUCUUGAACCAGCCUCCAUUAAGCUGCUGGAGCCUAUUAACAGGAGAACACUGCUGAAGAGUGUACAGGGACUUCUCCAGAACUUUUGUGGACUGGACUCAACUGUGAAAAUUCAGAAUGGGGAAGUAUUUCAAAAGCACUUGUGCCACAGUUCCUGACACACAUUGUUCCACUAAGUUUAUUUAGACCAGGACUUUAUUCUUUGCAUUAUAGGUUAUUUUUGUUCUUAUUGCUUAUGCUAGUCAUUAAAAGCAAUUAAAAUAUGGCAUGAAUGUGAUACUUCAGUUAUAAUCAGCCUCUGUUUCAGAUUCUCCUCUGAGGUAUCACUUACUUGUAUUGCAGCUGAGUGCACACCUCCUUGUAUGAUUAGGGCAUUGUAGAUUCUCAAUGAGGGACACUCUGUAAUGGCCACUUACAAUAUGUCAAAGAAUUUAGCUACAUGUUUAGUUUAGCCUUACACAAAUGUUGUUCCCUGAAUUAAAAAAAUGAUUUUUUUUUAAAAAGUUGAAAUAAGAAUCAUAGGUAGGUUUAACAGAGACCAAAGAGUAAUAUUGAAUAGCGUAAAAGAUAUGAAACAUAAAUGGGAAAAGUGGUUUCCAAAUUAAUACUGAGUGAACUUUGAGCAAUCCAAUCUGGGAAACUACAUCCAUGAAGGGAAAAAUGUCUGUUACAGAUCACCAUAAGUCUAGUGUUCCUGUCUACUUUGCUUUUACCAGGUCAUUCCCCUGACUUCCUCCAUACUACUUGUAACUUUGUUGAUGACCUAAUUGGUUGUGUCCCUUCUCAUUUUGUAUUUUUGUGGGGGCUUUUUCAAUAUGUCAGUUUAUAGAAUGCUUACUGAAGUUGUCCAAAUCUCAGAGGUGAUGGGGCAGGGAGCCAAGACAACACCAACAGAGGUUGCCAUGGGCAUUCUGUUGAGGACCCAAACCUGUCUAAUAUUGAAGGCAAAAAUGUUUACAUCUAAGAUACACUUUUAUGCACUAUGCUUUGACAGAUAUAGGAUAAAAUCAGCUUGAACAAAUGAAAUUGCCAGUGAUGGAUUAUCAUGGGUUAUAUCUGUUUUAAGAUGGGGUGGGCAAGUUGAAACCCUUUUUGCAGCCUUUGGUGGACUUUGGUGGACUUAAAACUGACAGGAUAAUUGCUUCCCAUUUUGAAAUGGGGAACACAUGAAAAAACUGUAAUUUAAGGUAUCAUAUAGGUAUUUCAUAGUUAAAAAGCAAACAAGACCUUCAAAGUUAUCCCAAAUCCUAUUCUACUCACACAUUAGAUGUGGUCCUUAGCCUCUUCAAUAUCUUAGGUUCAGUUCUUGGUCCUGAAAGGUUGCCCACCCCUGCUUCAAGAUAACCAUAAGACUAUUUGCUUGUUGUAGCCGAUUAACACUGCUAAUCCAUUAGAUCUGGUUCUUGAGAAUUCAAUGAAGAACUCCCUUUAUUGUCUGGGCAGCAAAGCAGUCUCAGUCCACAAUCUGCCAGAAUUAUAGAACUGUGGCUGCACACCAAAGAUUUGUUGCAACUUUGAGAUGGCCUCUGUGCAGGUCUUUAAAAUCCCACCAUAAACAUUUCACGUUAGACAAUGAAGGUCAUUACCAUGUUUAAAAAGGUUUCCCGAAUAUGGUUUCAGUUAGCCUGUAUGAAUCAAAGAAGAUGCAAGCCACCAUUUUUAAUAAAAUGUUCCACAAACAAAAUACGUAAACAAUAAGUUAUAAUAUUUUUAUUCAUGUUAGAAUUUCUAUCAAUGUUUGAACAUUAAUGUUUAGAGAGUUUGUACAAAUUUUCAUUUAUGAUUUAAAAUUGAGAACCACACUAGAUCACAAAAUGGUAAUCCUAAAACAGUUCAGAAUGACAUGCAAUAUUCCAUACUCUCCUUAAUACUGUUGACCUUGAUUUUGUUUGCAAAUGGGGUAUCACGAAAAGUGUGCAUUGUAUUUUAUGUCUCAGCAUUGUUCCAAAACAUAAUGGUAUCAUUGUCACAUAUAAACUCUUUUAAAAAUAUAAUUCUGUCAAAAGAAUUGAGGACUACUAUGUACACUACAAAAAUAAAUUUUCAUAUAAAUAAAUUAUAUGGCAUACUUUUAUCUUUGUAACUGAAAUACAAACCCAUUCCUGCUAAAAACAGGCAAUGAGAACCAGUCUGAAUAUUUUUCCUUUCAAUUUCUCACUCUAAAAAAAACUACUGAAUGAGCUCUUAAUGUAACUGUUAUAUACUCUCUUCCUAUUUAACAUUAGUAAGCAUUCUAUACAAAUAAAAAUUUCAAUUAAAAAGUAAAAACAUAACUGUAAUAGUGUUUCCAAUAGAAAUAAAAUCCCUGCAUUUUGUUUGUUAUAAACUGGCAUGACAAAUACUGUAAGAAAACAUUCUUAUGAUACAAAAAUAUAAAUAUCAACAAUUUAUCAUUUAAAAACAUAGAAGAGCUGAUCACUGAAAUCUCCUUUUUGCCAAUGUGACAAGCGAAAAAGGUCUAUACUAUACGCAAAGGAGUAGGCAAUCCUACAAAAAAAAGCAAAAAUAUCUCUGACACACAAACACACACACACACACACACACACACACACACACUGAGGAAGGUUAAGGUGAGGACUACUGAAAACUACAUUCUUGUACUUUCUCCCCCUUUCUUAAAAAAUAAUAGGAAGCAACUAACCAUAACUUCUGAGUCACCAGUACCUGACAGAAAAUACAGCUUACAAUUGGUACCAACUUUGCAAGAUUGUUUCAUUCUUUUUUAAUAAUCUAAUUUUACCAAGAUUUGCGUAUUUAGAUGCUUCUGUGGCAAAAUAGGCCUACAGAGUGAGAUUUCCUGCCUUUUCAUACCACUGAGACAAUGAAAUACCCAGCUUCUCUUUAGAAAGUUCACAUUAGACAUGUCCACAAUCACUUUGCCUCAAUGUAUUACUAAUGUUGGAGCUGAAAGGGCCAUACUGAUUAAUGUAUUACAAUAUCUAGCAGAGAGAAAUGAGAAGUUGUGAGCAAAAGAGAGGUAUCACACUAUUCAAAGUGACUAAAUAGGGAGAUUAAUUACUGAAAUAGUGGUAUCAGGCCCACACAAUAUGGGCCACCAAGGUUUGUAUGACACUACUUACUAAAAUUAAGUCAAGCUGAAUUUAGAUAUUACAUUGAUUGAUGCAAAAUCACUCAAAUAUAUAAUUCCUGCUUUAACUCAAAUUAUAUGUAGGAGAUCUGUUUGCAUGUUAUCUCUCAUGCUCCUUAGAGUUUUGUUGAAAGGAAGACUUCUCUAUGGUGGAUAUGCUGAUGUUGUAAGGGCAGCUCAUGCAACAUGUGGAAGAAACAGGAAUUCCUCUCUUUUCAUGAGAUUGGGACACAGCAGUGAAAAUUUUUUUCAGCCUGUUACUAAGAUGCAAAAUGUUAACAAAGAUGGUAGGGAAGCCAUGCUGACUUUGUGCUGUUCAUAUAGUUACAUAAGUCAAAACAAAUUAUUUUUCUUUGAAAUGCAGAAAGACUUAAAGAACAUUUAAUGAAAGAAUAAAACUUUUAAUAAAUUUUGAUGAAGACCUUCAAGUUCAUGUAGUUUUAUAUGGAACACAUGACAUGUAUGAAUAAUUUGUAUAGCUUACACCUUCUGGUACCAUUUCAAGGCUUUGCCUUUCUUACUUGAUUGCUGACCUUCCUAUUUUACCAUAUUUUCUUUUAUACACUUGUUAUUCUUUCACUCUAAGACAGUGGUGGUGAGCCUAUGGCACGGGUGUCAGAGGCAGCACUCGGAGCCCUCUCUGUGGGCACAUGUGCUGUUGCCCCAGCCUUGCC